rnacentral:rRNA from 1 species
AGUGAACGCUGGCGGUAGGCCUAACACAUGCAAGUCGAACGGCAGCACAGUAAGAGCUUGCUCUUACGGGUGGCGAGUGGCGGACGGGUGAGGAAUACAUCGGAAUCUACUUUUUCGUGGGGGAUAACGUAGGGAAACUUACGCUAAUACCGCAUACGACCUACGGGUGAAAGCAGGGGAUCUUCGGAGCUUUCGCGAUUGAAUUAGCCGGUGUCGGAUUAGCUAGUUGGGGUGGUAAAGGCCCACCAAGGCGACGAUGCGUAGCCGGUCUGAGAGGAUGAUCAGCCACACUGGAACUGAGACCCGGUCCAGACUCCUACGGGAGGCAGCAGUAGGGAAUCUUCGGCAAUGGGCGAAAGCCUGACGCCGCCAUGCCGCGUGGGUGAAGAAGGUCUUCGGGUUUUAAAACCCUUUUAUUAGGGAAGAAAAAACGGCGGAUUAACUCCCCACGUUUUGACGGUACCCAAACAAAAAGCCACGGCUAACUUCGUG